rnacentral:tRNA from 1 species
GGGCGGUUAGCCCAGCUGGUUAGAGCGCUUGCAUGACACGCAAGAGGUCGGGGGUUCGAGUCCCUCACCGCCCACCA